UGCGGCAUAGCCAAGCGGUAAGGCAAGGGACUUUGACUCCCUCAUGCGCGCGUUCGAAUCGCGCUGCCGCAG
rnacentral:tRNA from 1 species